UGUUUUUGAUGUCACUGACUGCUUUGAGAAAUGUUGAUCAAGGCUAUUGUACGAUGCCCCUCUGUUGGAACUCAUCUAAUGUUUUUGUCAUAAUCAUGAGACGUGGAUGAAUGGGUUAGGGAGGAAGAUCAUAGAGAUAAAGUAUCAUCAUCAGUAUAUCAUAUCAACAUGAUUAGCAACAUGGUUGUCAUUGUGGAUGUUCACCUGGCAGAAAUAUUGCUAGCCAGGUUUCUCAACUAUAAAUUUACUCUUUUUCUUCCACUUUUCCAUAAUGUACUCUUUGGAAGAAGUCACUAUAAGAAACCAACACUUAAGGAAAGGGGGAAGUGGUGGUUAUCCAGCCUUUUUUAGGGCAGAAUAUCUAGAUAAUUUACUUGACAUUCUGAUGUGUCUAUUCAUACUUAUUUUUACCCACAGGGAUGAAUGCAGUGCCCUCAACACAGUAAUCUCUUACUGUAAGUCACACUGUCUGCAGUUUUCCAGAUGAGGACUGCUUCCAGAAAUGAAGGCCUCCACCAGCUCACUGAGGACAAAAAUGAGAAUAAGAAAUAAACUGAAAUUUGGAGAAAUAGGACUCCUUGCAAGACAGCCUUGAAGUUCGAGUUUGCCAAUCAGAUUUAUAAGUGGGCCACUGGCAUCUAUAAUGAGAGAGAAGAAGGAUGUAUUCAGCAUCAGUCCGAGUUUCUUGAACCCAGAAACCACUCAACCUGCAA